UCUUGGUCAUUUAGAGGAAGUAAAAGUCGUAACAAGGUCUCCGUUGGUGAACCAGCGGAGGGAUCAUUACAGAGUUGCAAAACUCCCUAAACCAUUGUGAACGUUACCUAAACCGUUGCUUCGGCGGGCGGCCCGGGUCUCUCCCGGCGCCCCUGGGCCCUCGCGGGCGCCCGCCGGAGGUAAACCAAACUAUUGCAUUGUAUGGCCUCUCUGAGUCUUCUGUACUGAAUAAGUCAAAACUUUCAACAACGGAUCUCUUGGUUCUGGCAUCGAUGAAGAACGCAGCGAAAUGCGAUAAGUAAUGUGAAUUGCAGAAUUCAGUGAAUCAUCGAAUCUUUGAACGCACAUUGCGCCCGCCAGUAUUCUGGCGGGCAUGCCUGUUCGAGCGUCAUUUCAACCACCAAGCCCCGGGCUUGUGUUGGGGACCUGCGGCUGCCGCAGGCCCUGAAAUGCAGUGGCGGGCUCGCUGUCACUCCGAGCGUAGUAGUUACAUCUCGCUCUGGGCGUGCUACGGGUUCCGGCCGUUAAAAGCCUUAUUUACCCAAGGUUGACCUCGGAUCAGGUAGGAAGACCCGCUGAACUUAAGCAUAUCAAUAAGCG
rnacentral:rRNA from 1 species